rnacentral:rRNA from 1 species
UACGAAGGGGGCUAGCGUUGCUCGGAAUCACUGGGCGUAAAGCGCACGUAGGCGGCUUCUUAAGUCAGGGGUGAAAAUCCUGGAGCCAUCACUACCAGAACUCGUCCUUGAUACUGAGGAGCUUGAGUCCGGGAGAGGUGAGUGGAACUGCGAGUGUAGAGGUGAAAUUCGUAGAUAUUAGCUAGAACACCAGUGGCGAAGGCGGCCAACUGGUCCGACACUGACGCUGAGGUGCGAAAGCGUGGGGAGCAAACAGG